UACAGAGGUCUCAAGCGUUGUUCGGAUUCAUUGGGCGUAAAGGGUGUGUAGGGUGGCGCCGUAAGUCGGGUGUGAAAUUUCGGAGCUUAACUCCGAAACUGCAUUCGAUACGUGCGGUGCUUGAGGACUGGGAGAGGAGACGUGGAAUUCAUGGUGUAGCAGUGAAAUGCGUAGAGAUCAUGAGGAAGACCAGUGGCGAAGGCGGGUCUCUGGACGAGUCCUGACGCUGAGGCACGAAGGCCAGGGGAGCAAACGGG
rnacentral:rRNA from 1 species